rnacentral:sRNA from 1 species
UAAGAACUUAGAAUUUGGCAUCAUCA